ensembl:lncRNA
CAACCCUUAGUUACAGGGGCAAAAUUCCCUCUUUUGGCCAUAUGAGAAUAAUCCUCCUUCCAUAAAUGCCUAAAAAGCAGGAUAACUAUAGGAAACAACUAUGGUCCGACCCUAGAUAACAGACAGUGUAGGACUAUAAUUCCUGAGAGAAGAAAAACAAAGAGAUCUGCCUUUUUGUGUUCUCGUGGUCUCCCUGGGACAUUUGCCUCAGAUGCCCUAACACCAAGGAGUCCUUUGAUCAGAACAGUGGAGAGUGCAGCCCAGAAGCAGAUAUCUGGGCUCAGGGAGAUGCUCAGCAGGGAGAAUCCCAGAGCACCUGUUCCCAGCCCAGGGGUCACGUCACCUGCUACACCAUGGACAUCUACCACGUGACCCCUGGGAGUGAGGGCCAGUGCCCACAAAGUAGUUGCCAUCAUGUACCACGAGCUUCUCAAACCCUCUAAAGUGGCCAUCACUCUUCCUAUUGACCUUUCUCUUUGGGUUCAACUUUUUGUGGUUAGUUUUGUUUAUUA